rnacentral:rRNA from 1 species
UACGUAGGGCGCAAGCGUUGUCCGGAAUUAUUGGGCGUAAAGAGCUCGUAGGCGGUUUGUCGCGUCUGCUGUGAAAACUCGAGGCUCAACCUCGGGCUUGCAGUGGGUACGGGCAGACUAGAGUGCGGUAGGGGUGACUGGAAUUCCUGGUGUAGCGGUGGAAUGCGCAGAUAUCAGGAGGAACACCCGAUGGCGAAGGCAGGUCACUGGGCCGCAACUGGACG